GAUGAACGCUGGCGGCGUGCCUAAUACAUGCAAGUCGAGCGAACGGACGAGAAGCUUGCUUCUCUGAUGUUAGCGGCGGACGGGAGAGUAACACGUGGAUAACCUACCUAUAAGACUGGGAUAACUUCGGGAAACCGGAGCUAAUACCGGAUAAUAUUUUGAACCGCAUGGUUCAAAAGUGAAAGACGGUCUUGCUGUCACUUAUAGAUGUAUCCGCGCUGCAUUAGCUAGUUGGUAAGGUAACGGCUUACCAAGGCAACGAUGCAUAGCCGACCUGAGAGGGUGAUCGGCCACACUGGAACUGAGACACGGUCCAGACUCCUACGGGAGGCAGCAGUAGGGAAUCUUCCGCAAUGGGCGAAAGCCUGACGGGACAACGCCGCGUGAGUGAUGAAGGUCUUCGGAUCGUAGAACUCUGUUAUUAGGGAAGAACAUAUGUGUAAGUAACUGUGCACAUCUUGACGGUACCUAAUCAGAAAGCCACGGCUAACUACGUG
rnacentral:rRNA from 1 species